UCCAACAUGAGAUGCCACCGAUGGUCCUUUUAAGCCAUGAAAGGCACCAGUGCGAGGAAACAACAAACACAUCCCAUGGGCCAGCUGAGAAGCAAUGGACCUGGAGCUCACCAACUACAGGGUUGUUCUCCAGGAUGUAAGACUUGCCUAACCAAAGGGAAGUUCUCUGGGGUAGAUCCUAAAAAGGUCCUGAACCUUGUAGGCACAUAUGAGAGUAUACUCCAGCUAACAUUCUGAGAACCAUCUUACUUUCUUUUUGUCUGCUUUAAAAAGCUUUUUGUUAGAUACUUCAUGCCUAAAUAGAGGUUUUGAUGCAAUAGGGUUUACAUUUGAGAGAAUAGAACAGUUGGAAAUUUCCAAGAGAUGCUACUGUCUUACAGGGACUUGUUUUAUUUUACAUAUCUGAACACAGAAGAGACCUUUGAAGUGUAAGUUGAGGAUGACACUAAUGUCGAGUAGCACUAUGAGCCUAGAAGAGGAAAAGUGCUAUAUCUGCAAUGGAUAGAGCAGCAUGUAGGAAAGGCAAAUUAAUAAAAUGAUAUAGCACACACCUUAUAAAUUGACUUUAAUUAACAAGUACUGUUAAAAGGGUGGUGGAUACAGCUGCUCAACUGCAGUAUUUUAAUUACGUUACGUUGCUCAGCACCGCAAACAACUCUUAAACAAGACAGACUACCCAUAGCAUACAAUACAGGUGUCUGGAUAUGGAACUGUAGUUGUUUCAUCCUUCCAAAACACAAUAGGCAUCCAGGGCAAUCUAUCCUUUAAGACGUGAUUAGUGCGAGGAAGUUUCCAGGCUCCUGGACACUCAACACGCAGCAGGAAAAGAAAAAAAGUGUCAGCCUAUGGAUUUGAGGCAUUAUUUUAUUCUCUAAGUACAAUACUUUCCUCAAGAAAAUAAUUAGUUACAUGAGUUGUACAACUGCCCCUGUAACUUACGGUUUUCAAAACCCCUUAGAUUUUAAGAAAGGACAGUAACACAAAUGUUAUCUACAAUGGCACUGGAUGACUUCUGAAAAGUUCUUUCUUAAUUGCAUUUAAUUCCAUUAUUUGUUUUCCAUGCUAUUGCAUGAUGCUGCAAGAGCACAGAAAAAGAAAGAAGCUAAAAUCUUCAAACACCGAGGUGGAAAAGCUGGUGGAACACUGUAUAAAAACUGGGCAAAGGGAAGAAAUUUUGAAGCAUCUUAGCUUUUCCAUUAGCUUUACCAUAAAUAUGGAACAAGAAAAAAGAGUAAGAAGAACAAACUAACAUGGUGACAUCUAAUGAAAAAUGCAGCUGUUCUCUGCUGUAAGAAUCUGUAACUUCAAACAAUUCAGAGUAACUGAAUUGAUGCUAGUAUGACAAACUAUGAAAUUAACACUUCUGAGAUAAGGUCUCUUCUGCGUGGUAGUGUUCUGCUGGUUAUUUAGUGGUAUCUCCAGCUGGCAGUAAAUGGAGCUGAAGAGAUCUUGGCUGUUCAGGACACACUCCUGCUUGAGAUUUUUGGACAUCCAUUUUAUUUCUGAAGUCUGCCUCAUGACAAGUGAUCAACAAGCCCUCUGACAUAAAGGGAGUGGCUCCCAUGGCCUCUUGAGCAUAGCUCAGCUCCUCAUUACAGUGCCAGAGGUUUUGCUUAGGCAAUUUUUUUACUUUUGUAAUUUAGAUCAGCUUCAGCACAAAACUGAUGUACUUCAGGAGAAGCCAAUCUCUACUUGCACAGCAAAAUCUUUGCCUUCCAGUGAUUAUUAGGAUGUAAAGAUUAGACUUGCUUUUGUUUCUGAGGACAGGAGAAAUUCAAGAUGUCGCAGAGAUGGCUUUGGAUACUUACCUACAUGUUAAGCAAACCAAACAAAACCCCAAUAAACAGGGAUGUCAGGAAAACAGUUAAGCAACAAGCCAGACAGAUACAGAUACAGCAAGAGCACUGCAGAUAUCUGCUUCUGGGAAGAGAAAUGAUGCCACAGAUGAUGUCAGAUGAAGCUUCCAAAUAGGAUCAUUUCACUAAGAACAGUUAUCCUUUCAUAAUGAGCAAGUUUUGAGCUGCCAGCAAAAAUGUGAGAAUGGCAGUAGUGUUAAGACAGCAAAACCUCCAGUCUAAGAUCUUUUCUAAGGAGGUCAGAGAAAUCCAAGGGAAUUGAUGGUACAGUACACACAGACUGCACUGGUUUAUUUUCUCAUUCUACAAGAAACACUCUGGACACAAUAUGUAAAUACGGAUGGAUUUAAAGCACUUGUUCUGACAGUGGUUAAAAACGGAACAUUAAUUAUACCACAGGAGAGUUCCCAAUGAAAAUCUAUGAGCUUUUUCCAUUCCCAAGAUACUGUUCUACAAAAUCAAUUUAUACUCCUAUCAAUUUUAGAGCAAAAAAAAAGAAGAAAAAAAAAAAGAAA